rnacentral:rRNA from 1 species
CAGUAGCCGCGGUAAUACGAAGGGGGCUAGCGUUGUUCGGAUUUACUGGGCGUAAAGGGUGCGUAGGCGGAUUGUUAAGUCAGGGGUGAAAUCCCGAGGCUCAACCUCGGAACUGCCUUUGAUACUGGCGAUCUUGAGUCCGGGAGAGGUGAGUGGAACUGCGAGUGUAGAGGUGAAAUUCGUAGAUAUUGGGAAGAACACCGGUGGCGAAGGCGGCAACCUGGCUCAUUACUGACGCUGAGGCGCGAAAGCGUGGGGAGCAAACAGGAUUAGAUACCCGCGUAGUCCCUGUCUCUUAUAC